CGGCAGCGGAAAUGACGCGAUCAUUGACGUUGGAUUCAGCGUUGCAUUGCGCGCGCCUCUUCCCCCUCAUUUCCCGUCAAUCACAUUUUAUAUAUGCAAACAUCAUAAUUCCUGCACAUGGUGCGAGUGAGAUGCAUACUGCAGAGGAAAAUUGCAGCAAACUCUUAAUUUAUGAUUAUUUGUGUGAAUUGGUGCUAAAACCGGAGGGAUGUUGCGGGGAGUCGUGUGUGGGGAUUACAUAGUGCCUAAAGAGAAGUUUGUGUGGAUGUAGCAUCAACGAAAAGAUCGUGAUCUCUCACAUAUAGAGUUGGGAGAUAGUUCUCGCGAAGCCAUAUAGCCAACAUUUGAUGCCUUGUAGGCUGCGAUGUGUGAGAAAGACAUGGCGAUCGCGUCUCGCGAGGAGCAACAGCGGGAUGUUCGCCGCAGCGGCUGUAUGAGGAAGAUGGGGGAAAAAAACGAGGAGAGACCGCUGAAGUUCAUCGAAAUUGUGUGGCACAAACAAUUUUACAAUAAAUAAUAUUUAAUGUUGUGUACUACAUGAUAUGAA